UACCGAGGUCCCAAGCGUUGUUCGGAUUCACUGGGCGUAAAGGGUGCGUAGGUGGUUGGGUAAGUUUGAUGUGAAAUCUCUGAGCUCAACUCAGAAACUGCAUUGAAUACUAUCCGGCUAGAGAAUCGGAGGGGGGACUGGAAUACUUGGUGUAGCAGUGAAAUGCGUAGAUAUCAAGUGGAACACCAGUGGCGAAGGCGAGUCCCUGGACGAUUUCUGACACUGAGGCACGAAAGCUAGGGGAGCAAACAGG
rnacentral:rRNA from 1 species